rnacentral:rRNA from 1 species
GACGAACGCUGGCGGCGUGCUUAACACAUGCAAGUCGAGCGGUAAGGCCCUUUCGGGGGUACGACGAGCGGCGAACGGGUGAGUAACACGUGGGUGACCUGCCCUCAGCUCUGGGAUAAGCCUGGGAAACCGGGUACUAAUACUGGAUAUGACUCCAUGACGCAUGUUGUGGGGUGGAAAGCCUUGUGCGGCUGAGGAUGGGCCCGCGGCCUAUCAGCUUGUUGGUGGGGUGAGGCCUACCAAGGCGACGACGGGUAGCCGGCCUGAGAGGGCGACCGGCCACACUGGGACUGAGACACGGCCCAGACUCCUACGGGAGGCAGCAGUGGGGAAUCUUGCGCAAUGGGCGAAAGCCUGACGCAGCGACGCCG